rnacentral:rRNA from 1 species
GGGGAAUUGUUCGCAAUGGGCGCAAGCCUGACGACGCAACGCCGCGUGGAGGAUGAAGAUUUUCGGAUCGUAAACUCCUGUCGAGUGGGAAGAAUAGCCUAGGGGUAAAUAUCCCCGAGGUCUGACGGUACCACUAAAGGAAGCCCCGGCUAACUCCGUGCCAGCAGCCGCGGUAAUACGGGGGGGGCAAGCGUUGUUCGGAAUUACUGGGCGUAAAGGGCUCGUAGGCGGCCAACUAAGUCAGACGUGAAAUCCCCAGGCUCAACCUGGGAACUGCGUCUAAUACUGGAUGGCUUGAAUUCGGGAGAGGGAUGCAGAAUUCCAGGUGUAGCGGUGAAAUGCGUAGAUAUCUGGAGGAAUACCGGUGGCGAAGGCGGCAUCCUGGACCGACAUUGACGCUGAGGAGCGAAAGCUAGGGGAGCAAA